ACAAAGCCAGAAAAUCUGUUGAGUCAUACAGAUAUUCUGUUUAAUAUGUCCCGAAACACAAACUUCAGCGAAGACCUACUUUAGAAAAGAUGCAUGGCAGCUUGUUUUAAAUACUCUCAAAGUAUUAGAAGAUAUGUAUAUUAGUAACACUCAGAAGUAUUAUGAUAAGAUUUCUCCAUGCCAGACAAGAAAAGGCAAAGCUUUAAUAGGUCCAGUUGAAGGAAGAAUAUUCAAAAAGUUUUCAAAAAGGACAUCAGACCAGAUUAAAUCAAAAAAAAGAAGUGUAUAUUCCUUUACAAGUGAGGAAUUUUCUCCAUUAAAAGCUAGGAAAGCUAAGAAAUCCUUUACAAGUGAGGACAGUAUUCCAUUAAAAGGAAAAAGAAGUGUGGACAAUUCUUCAUUAAAAGCUAGGAAAUCCUUUACAAAUGAAGAUAUAGUUUUCCAUUAAAAGCUAGGAAAUCCCUUACAAGUGAAGAUAGUUCUCCAUUAAAAGCUAGGAAAUCCCUUACAAGUGAAGAUAGUUCUCCAUUAAAAGCUAGGAAAUCCCUUACAAGUGAAGAUAGUUCUCCAUUAAAAGCAAUAAAAGAUUUAAAUAAUCCAAUAGAUGUUUGCCAAAAUUUAGAAAGGAUCCGUGAAACUACUGGAGAAUAUGAAAGGAUUGGUAAAAAUACUAAAAAGGAUGCAAUUACAGGACUUAUUAAUCAUUCAUCGACAAAAGAUAAAAAAUCAGAAAU